CGCUUGUAGGUGCGUAAGUAGCUCGAAUGGCCCCCCAUUGGGGAGUAAUGAUAUUCUUUGAGGAGCAAAGGAAUUCUGGUGGACUCCUUUGGUAGAACUAACCUCUCCUUGUAGUGUAGAUAGCCAUGUAUCAAGCUAUACCCUUCUACCCCCUCUUUAUCGGUAAUGAGUUGCUGCAAAUUUUGCUCAAUUUCGGAUCAGCUAGUACCUCUCUUUCUUUCCCAUUCUUCCACAUCAUCAUACUGCCAUAAUGAAAAUCCCAUUAGUUCAAGUGACUCGUCUUGCCUAGUAGAGCAUAAGCAGCCCUAUUCUCCUUCCCGGGCUUCUACGCAAUUUCAAAUUUGAAUCCCAUCAAUUUGGAGACCCAUUUUUGCUGGUUUUCAUCAACUACUCUCUGCUCCAGCAGGUAUUUCAGAGCCUUUUGAUCAAUGCGGACUUAACUUAAUCUGCAAAUUUUCAGCAAUAAAGUUAUGGGUGGCACCACUGUCAAUGAGAAUGAUUAUAUGUGUGUCUCCAAUCUUCCCCUUGACUUUCAUGGUGUGGUUAUCACCAAACCCAGCCAAGAAAUUAAGAAAUAAUUCCAUCUGUAUACCGUCCUCAGUAGGUUCAGGAUAUCCACCGUCAAUUUCGAGUGCUGUAUCAUCUUCUUCGCCUUCUGUGUUGGCUCCUAACUCCAUUAUCAACACUUGAAGGUUCUUAUUUUUACAUUGAUGAGUGGGGCUGUAUUUGUCGCCACAUUUGAAACAAAGCCCAAACUCUCUGCGUCUUGCAAUUUCAGAAUUAGGGAGUCGGCGAGAAUUUCCUCCUCUCCUUGCUGUGGUUCCAGAAUUCGUGCUGCUCCUGGUCUUUGAAGGCUCUGUUCUAGCGUUGUUUUUCUUCGUACCAUCUGCGAGAGAAGACAUAACCACACUGGCGUUCCUUCCUCCCUCAGUCACGUGAGUCACGCGUGGAAAAUAAGUGACCUGGGUCGAAUCAAGUUUGGAUCCGAAAUGGGUCCGCUGAACUCGGGUUCCUCUCGUGUCUCUGCAGUCAUCCGGCAUCCGAUUUCUUUCUUCAAUACAUACUGCCAUUUCCAUCAGUUCCCGCAGCAUAGCCUUCGUCACCUUCAGCUCAGCCCUAAUCUCUGUCUUGAGUCUAGACCUGAAUGCACCGAUCAAACACUCCUCGGAAGCUUCCUUCAAUGGCGCCGAUAGUAGUUCAAAUUCCUCUACAAAUUCUAGCACAGACUUCUCUUGCUUAGCUGUAAAUAGUCGCUCAUACUCACCACCGGGUUGUGAAGAGUGGAAUCGCCAUAGCCACGCCCUUUUAAAUUCUGACCAGUUACUCAAUGGUACUCGCGUAUCAAGCCACUGGUACCAGUUUACUCCUUUUCCUUCCAAACAUACUAAUGCUGCUUCGAGCUUCUUAUGUUCAACUAUGGAGUUGACGUGAAAGUACCGUUCCACUCUGAAAAGCCACCCAAGAGGAUCCUCGCCUGAGAAUACAGGUAGUUCCAAUUUCCGAAACUUACCUCCUUCUGUCCCACCCCUUGUAUUAUUCUCAGAAGAUUCUGCAUGAUGAGUGCCUUCUUGUUCUUCCUCAUGUGGCCUUGCCACCUUCUUUUCUAGUUGUGCCAGAGUAUCACUAAUAGUUUUCAAGGUUCCCUUGAUGUCACUAACAUCCCUAUUCAAUACUCCGAUUGCCUCCUUCAACUCUUGUACUUCUCGCUCAGAAUACUGCACUUCCUCCGCCAUAACUUCUCUUAACUACCUAGAAUUCGUAUUGCUCUGAUACCAAUUAAUAAGACGCAAACCAAUAUUUCCACAGAAACAGCAACAAAGACAGUAAUAACAAUAAAUGAAGGGAAAAUGCUGAGGUUUUGAUAUUAAUAAAUUGAGAGAACCGAAUCAGAUUUACAAGUCUUCCUCUGAUUCUAGCCAAAGCCCUAUCUCCCUUGAAUGAUCACAAAAGUAACAACAUUUCAAGCUCAAACCUCACAAGAGGGUUCACUCCUUCGGGCAUUCAAGAGGCCAGUCUCUCCUCUCCAUUCUCUUACAAAAGAUACCCCCUCAAUACAAGCAAAAAGAUAAAAUAUAACCACAGCAUGGACAGCAUGGCUUUCCCCUUAGCCCAUACCUCCCAAAUGAUCUUAAUUAUGGCAAAAGAUCACAUGCUACUGUUCCUUACAGCUAGAGACCGAAGGAUAAACCUCUGGACCAGUCGUUAUUAUUCUACUAGAGUCGUUCUUUCCCUUUGACUUCCUUUGAUAUGUCUUAGUAAAAUAAUGAGGGGUUCUAUCAAAAUACUACUUCCUUCCUUAACAAUUUGUUCUUUACUUUGAUCAUCAAGCGCUUAAGUUUAUCAACUCUCAACGUCACUUAAAUGCUAAACAUGCUAAAUGGGUUGAGUAUAUUCAGGGAUUCACUUUCAUAGUCAAGCAUCAUUCAGGAACAAAAAACAAAGUGGCUGACGUUUUGAGCUGAUGGAUCAACUUGUUGCACACUAUGAGCGUUAGUGUUGUUGGCUUUUAAAACCUAAAGGAAGACUAUGCUUCAUGCCUAAAUUUUGGGAUAAUAUAUCAAGAAGUUAACAAUGGUAACCGUUAUGAGCAUUUUGAUUUCAUCCUUAAAGACAUUCAUCUCUGUCAUGGAAGCAAACUGUGCAUCCCACGUGCAUCUAUGCACGAUUUUCUUAUAUAGGAGUUAUAUGCUAGAGGUUUAGCCAGUCAUUUCGGGGUUAAUAAGAAAAUAGAAUUAGUCGAAGAGAAGACAGGUUCUAUUGGCCUUCACUCAAGUGUGAUGUAGCUCACGUAGUGUCUCAAUGUUGAACUUGUCAAACUUCUAAAGCUGGACAGUUGAAUACCGGUUGGUAUACUCCUUUGCGAAUCCUUGAGGCAACUUGGAAAGACUUAAGUAUGGAUUUUGUCUUGGUAUUACCUCGAACAGCCAAAGGUCAUGACUCUAUAUUGGUUGUUGUGGAUAGAUUUUCAAAGAUAGCUCACUUUAUUUCUUGUAGCAAAACUACAGAUGCUUCACAUUUGGCGAAGUUGUUCUUUAAGGAGAUUGUGCACUUGCAUAGGUCGCUUGCUACUAUCGUAUCUGAUAGGGAUGUUAAGUUUGUUAGUUACUUUUGGAAGAUCCUCUGGAAACUUUUUGGUACCCAGUUAAAGUUCUCUUCUGCUUUCCACCCCCAAAUUGAUGGGCAAACUGAAGUUACUAGUCAAAGUCUAGGUAAUUUGCUUUGGCGUUUAAUUGGAGAUUUGGUUUUACUCACUGUUGAGUUUGCAUAUAAUAAUUAUGUGAAUAGGUCUACAGGAAUGAGUUCCUUCCAAAUUGUUCAAAGUUUUAAUUCUAAAUAGCCUAUUGACCUUAUGCCAAUCCCAUUGACAUUUCGCAUCUUUAAAUUUGCCGAAUCUUUUGCCAAUCACCUUCAUGAAUUACAUGCUAACAUUAAGCGUAAAUUAGCAAUGAGCAAUGAUCAAUAUAAAUUAUCUACCAAUAGUCAUUGCCGAUUUCAAAGCUUUACUACAAGUGACUAUGUUAUGGCUUAAAUUCGUCUAGAAUGUUACCCUCAACAUGCUUUUAAAAAAUUGCAUGCUCGAGUUUCUAGACCUUUUCGCAUUGCAAAGCAAUUAGAGCCUAAUUUUAUCUUUUAGAAUUACCUCAUGAUAUGGCCAUAAGUUUAGUUUUUAAUGUGGAGGAUCUUAUGCUUUACUAGGGAACUUUUGAGCCUCUCCCUUUGGUUUUUGAUGAUCUGCAAAUACUUGGCCUUUACUGGUGCCAAUUCUAUCAUUGCUAGCUAUCUUACUAUCAGUUGACAAAAUUGAGACCAUUAUGGAUGAUCAAAUGGUCUUUACCUCUAAGGGGCCCCUUCAUCAUUAUUUGGUUUGUUAGAGAGAUCGUUCGGAUGAAGAUGCCAUUUGGAUUUCAGAAGAUGAAUUCCAACAACUUAAUCCCGCCCUGUUGGAAGCCUAUCAACUCUCUACCUCUCUAGAGGAGAGUUCUUUAAGGCGAGGGGGAAUUGAUAGAAAAUGUGGCAAACAUUACUUUAGAAGGAAAUAGUUUAUUAGUUUUUUAUUGCUUUUCAUAAGUUUAUUAGUUUUGUUGCUUUUCAUUUAACUUUUGUAAGUUUCCUUCUUGUGAAGGAAACCAGACAGCAAGUGGGUAGAGAUUUCCUUGUUAGGGUGACUCAUGUAGUCAGAAGGAGAUUUUCAAUGAAUGAAUUCAUUUGAGAAAUUUUGAAAGCUCUCUCCCUCCAAUGUGCGUUCUCUUCCUCUUAGUUCCUCCUCCCUCUUUGUUCUGUCCUUCCUUUUCUCUUCCCCCCUCUCUGUUCUCGUCUCCCUCUCCCAUCUAAGUCUCUGUUUCUGUCCCUACUCUCAUGUCCUUUCUGUCUGAGCUAAUUUGAGUGUGUGCGUGUGUGUUUUGCAUCAGAGAUGUUUUCCAUGCUCAAUGCUGGGUUUUGCCUCAAUCACUACACUUAUUCAUGGAUAGUAGAUGGUUACUGCAAGAAAGACAAUGAAGAGGCUGUUGUUACACUCCCAGAUGAGUUUCUUAGAAAAGGUCUUUGCAUUGAUGUUUCAUAUUCAGGGCAUUAAUAAGAAGGUUAUGUAAGUUAGAAAGGAUACAAUGUGCUCAGAAGUUAUUUGAUCUUAUGGAAGGAAGGGGUAUAUCAGGCGAUUCUUGCUUAUGCGUAUUGGAACAUGGAAUGCAAAGGUUGCAAAUAUAUUCGAAGAGAUGACUAGGAGGAGGUUGAUGAUAACAAGCAAAAUCUAUAAAUCUUUUGCUCAGGCACCAUACUCGUGGAAGCUCCCAUCUCCUGGUCAGUCGUAAGUCGCUCUCCUGGUCACUCAUAAGUCGCUCCCAUCUCCUGGUCUCUCAGGUUUUCUUUUAUUUUAAACCCUCUGUCGUGAAACUUGGUGGCAUGCAUUGUUCUUUCAAGUUCUGUCUUUAUUCUUGUUUGUGCUGUUCUAUUCUGAGGAUCCAGUCAAUCAAGGCAGGCUCUGUUCUGUUUCUAUUUCCCCAUUUUGUUUCUGUUUUGAUGAAAUUUUCUAUCAUUUAUAUUCCAACGUAUUCCCUUUUGGUCUUUCUGAUGAUGUAGCUGUUCAAAUUUUUUAGGGAUGUUUUCAACAGUUUUCUUCUUUUUUGUUUUAUAUGUAAGGGUUAACUCUUAGUUUUUAUUCUUUUCGUUUGUGAUUCUAAACAAGAUUUAGUUUUUUUCCUCAAAAUUUCUCGAGUCCUGGCUUGAUAGUGAUAUUUGCCUUUAUUCCAUAAAAAAAGUUUUAUGUAUUUUUGUUAAGCCUGAAGCAAAUGACAUAUACGAAUUGAGGAGGAAAAGAUCCCCCAACUUUGCAACGAAAAUGAAAAUCCAGAUGCAGCCUGGUAAAGUGGUACGCUACUGUGAUGUUAUUUUGCAGAAUUAUUCUCCCAAUAAUAUGAAUUGGCGUUUUAGUUUGUGCAGUAUAUGCCUGAUCGUUUUCAGAUGGAAAAGGUUAUUUACCUUGAGCCUGUGAACAUAGUUUUCGAAAUGCGGAGCUGGAGAGGAUUGUUGAUUAGGAUUUGUCACGUUUAUACCCGGAGCAUGGCGCUUAUUUCCAAACACUAGGAUGUCAAAUCUUGUUAAGACGGAUCUUAUUACUCUGGUGUGUCAAGCACCUAUGCAGAGUGUGAAUAUAGACAAGAUUUGGAACUUUGGAGGGGCGGUGAAUAUUUUUCUGAGCGAUAUUGAAGAGUAUGACUGCAAAUUAAGGACAAGCUCAAGUAAAUUCACGUGUUAUUACAAGUUAUCUUCUGUACAAAACGUGAUUUAGUUUGAUCUGAACAUAUGAUUUAUGGAGGUGAUUGACCUUGUUUCUGGCUUAUGUUGUUAUUAGUGUUCUGGAUUUAUGAUUUUCUACUUCUGUUAAGUGUUUUGGAUGUCUUUAGUUUAUUGUACUAUUUUGAGACAAAUUUAGAGAUUGUGAGUUCACAUCAUUGUUUUUCGAGACUAUUCUGGAUAUGGUCUUACAUUAUGAUUUCUCAA